rnacentral:rRNA from 1 species
UACGUAGGGUGCGAGCGUUAAUCGGAAUUACUGGGCGUAAAGCGCGCGUAGGCGGACCUGCAAGUCGGGGGUGAAAGCCCGAGGCUCAACCUCGGAACUGCCUUCGAUACUGCGGGUCUCGAGUCCGGGAGAGGUGAGUGGAAUUCCUAGUGUAGAGGUGAAAUUCGUAGAUAUUCGCAAGAACACCAGUGGCGAAGGCGGCUCACUGGCCCGGUACUGACGCUGAGGUGCGAAAGCGUGGGGAGCAAACAGG